rnacentral:rRNA from 1 species
UGCUACCUACGGGGCGCAGCAGUGGGGGAUAUUGCACAAUGGGGGAAACCCUGAUGCAGCGACGCCGCGUGAGUGAAGAAGUAUUUCGGUACGUAAAGCUCUAUCAGCAGGGAAGAAUAGUGACGGUACCUGACUAAGAAGCCCCGGCUAACUACGUGCCAGCAGCCGCGGUAAUACGUAGGGGGCAAGCGUUAUCCGGAUUUACUGGGUGUAAAGGGAGCGUAGACGGCUGUGCAGGUCUGAAGUGA